rnacentral:tRNA from 1 species
GCUGGAUUCGUAUAGUGGUUAUUACACUGGCAUGGUAAGCCAGUAAGACAAGUUCAAUUCUUGUAUCCAGCACCA